GGUUACUGUUCCGGUGGCCUAGUGGUUAGAGUGUCCGCCUCGGAUGCAGGUCACAGGUUCGAUCCCCGGUUGAGUCA